UACGUAGGGUGCGAGCGUUGCCCGGAUUUAUUGGGCGUAAAGGGCGCGUAGGCGGCCUGGCGCGUCGGCUGUGAAAUCUCCCGGCUCAACUGGGAGGGGACGGCCGAUACGGCUGGGCUUGAGCGAGGUAGGGGAGAGUGGAAUUCCCGGUGUAGUGGUGAAAUGCGUAGAUAUCGGGAGGAACACCAGUGGCGAAGGCGGCUUCCUGGCCUGUUCUUGACGCUGAGGCGCGAAAGCUAGGGGAGCAAACGGG
rnacentral:rRNA from 1 species